CGAAAUUAUGGAUAACGAUAUUGAGUUUGUAUUUUAAAGUCCUUCAUUUAUAACGCAUACAAUUUGUUCAUUUACAGAUAUUUGAAAUAUUUAAUAAAAGAAUACGAAAAUAUUAUUCCUUCGCUAAACGAACAAAUAAAUUAUUACCAGGAUGCUCAUUCUUCCUUGAAGAAGGAAGUUAUUGCCAUUAACCAAGAGAAUAAGUCGUUGAACCAAAAGCUGGAAGAAGCAUUAAAUCUUCAAAACCAAUCAUCCGAUGUCUACAAAUAUUCGGAAAUUAAUUUCAUCGAUAACCUGAAGCGGCAACUUAAUCUAUCAAUAAAAGAGAAAGAGUCCAUAUCGGAGUUAUGGAAAACAAGUCUCAAGAGGAUCGAUUGCCUAGAAAACGAACUGAAAUUAUAUUCCGCAGGUAGUGUGAAUAAUUCGAAGGCUGUAAUUAAUAAGUUACGGAAAUUGCACGAGUCUGAAAUCAAAUCAUGUCACAUAGAAUUGAAAAAAUCACGCCACAAAAUAG